ACCAGCAUUGUCACAGCACUGUCACAAAUAUGUUUCGCAUCUUUGUUGUCUUCUUCUUUCUCAGUCUUUCAGGCUGUCACUCACAGGUCCAGUUGGUGGAGACCGGAGGGGCUGUCGUAGCCCCUGGAGGUUCCCUCCGCCUAAGCUGUAAAACAUCUGGAUUCACACUCACAAGCUAUCACAUGCACUGGUUCCGGCAGGUUGCAGAGAAAGAAAUGGAAUGGGUGGCUGGACUAGAUCCUUCAGGAAGUAGCAAAUGGUACAACUCCAAAUUCAAUGGAAGAUUCACCAUCUCCAGCGACAUUUCCCAAAGCUCAGUAUACCUCCAGAUGAACAGCUUGAAGAUUGAAGACUCUGCCUUGUAUCAUUGUGCUCCACAGUGA